UGGCGGGAGGGUGAGUAAUGUCUGGGAAACUGCCUGAUGGAGGGGGGUAACUACUGGAAACGGUAGCUAAUACCGCAUAACGUCGCAAGACCAAAGAGGGGGACCGUUCGGGCCUCUUGCCAUCGGAUGUGCCCAGAUGGGAUUAGCUAGUAGGUGGGGUAACGGCUCACCUAGGCGACGAUCCCUAGCUGGUCUGAGAGGAUGACCAGCCACACUGGAACUGAGACACGGUCCAG
rnacentral:rRNA from 1 species